AGCCAGUAGGAGUUGACGACUCUUAGACCGCCCAGUUUCCUUCCAGCACGCUCCUCAGCAACAGAACGCUUGCUCCUCUGGAACUUGAGUUGAGUAACUCCCUGGUUUGUGGGUUUACCAUACACAAUACCCUUUGGCACUGGCCUCUUUCUUCCGCCACGUCUCACACGGACACGGUACACCACGAAGCCCUAACAUAGAUUAACAUCCCAACUAGAUAAGUAACUGAAUGUUGUGACUUGUGACUAAAGCAAGGAGAAUAUUAUAACACUGUAACAGUUAGAAGAACAAGAGUCACAUUUUCAGACAGCAUAACUAAGAUCCAAAGGGCAACUAAACAAAAGACUAAGGAUUAGGGCACAACUAGUCACCUGCUUGGCCUUGUAACCCAAACGACGGGCCUUGUCGGGACGAGUAGGCCUGACGAGACGGACAAUCGAGGGCUGCUGUCUGUACUCCCAGCACCUCACCCUCUGCACAAACCUCAUCACAUCGGAUUGUUUCUUCCUCCAUAGCUCAGACACAUACUUGUACGCACCUACAGUUCACCAUCGAAACCAUCAUAUGGAAGAUAAAAGUCAAAAUAAUUUAACUGUGGAAACAAUAUUGUUCACUUUUUUCAAGAAUGUGUUCGAUGGAAAAAAUAAGGUUUUUAUGUCAUAAUUUGUUUAAUGUUCACUAGAAAACAUUAUAUUAACCUAAAAUAUAAGAAGUGUGUAUUCUUUCCUUACAUAAAAGUUACAGAAUUACCUAAUAUGAUUUACAUAUAUAUGACAAGUAAUGAUUAUGAAUAAUAAAGAUUUGAUAACAAUUUUUGCAUCCUUCUUCAUUUUUGUUUAAUUUUAUAUUUUAAAAAAAUAAACAAUCACAUUAACCAUAUAAUAUAAAAAUAUAUGUUUUCUUAUAUGUUAUAUUUUGAAUUUUUUAAAAUGAUUUUAAAUUACAAAAAUGAGGAAACUUUAUAUGUUAUAUUUUUUUAAACGACUUUAAAAUACAAAAAUGAGGACACCUUAUAUGUUAUAUUUUUCUUAUAUGUUAGAUUUUUUCUUAUAUAUUAUAUUUUGAAUUUUUUAAAACGACUUUAAAUUAUAAAAAUGUAAGUUUUCCUUAAGUAUACGACUAAAAACAUUAAAAUGACAUGUAUCAGUUCGAUGAUUGAUUUUAAUUUCAGUCAGUUGUAAACAUUUAUAUUUAUUUGGAUAUAAUGAAGAAUAUUAUAAUAGGAUUACUAAUAGUGUACGGAGGAUGAGACAUGUUCAAACAAAGCCUUUAGUUAUAAACUUAUAAUUGAAGAAAAGAUACAGCACGGAGGAGAUAAGCGAAUAAGAUAGUUGGGACAGAGAAGAAAGCAGAAUGGUCACUAUCCUCCAAGAUAUACAACUGAGAAGGUGGCCACUUCUCCACCAAACGGUCUUGGUACAUAGGAUGAAAUAGGUUAUCUUUAGCAGUCUUCAUGUAUCCUCGAGGAACUUUCUCGGCUUCAGGGUUUGGAGGCAGCUUAUCAAUACCUUGUAACGCCCUUAUCGGAGCAGGUCGCAACAGCUUAGAUGCCAAAGUUACAUCCUACCAACAAGGCAACAGCAACCAUAUAUAUUUAUUUGCAUAAUAAAAUUGGUACUGAAACAUGAUUGGUGGUGUUCCAAAAAAAAACAUGAUUGGUGAAGUAAUUAAGAGAGUAACCUCAAUAGGACUUUGGCUAUAGUAAUAAUGACGUAUAAACUCUUCCUUCAUUAAUACGCCAGUGGGUGGCUUAUCAGCGCCUUCACCGUAUGUGAACUCCCAUAUGUCUUCUUCUCCCACAGUCAUCUUUAACAUAUUCACAUGAAUUUAGUGCAAAUGUCUUUUAAUGUAUUACUUUCGAUCAUACAAGUUUUAACCAAAGAUUGUUGAACAUAAUUUUUUUUUGUGUAGUUACAAUGUUAUUGCAGAGUUAUUUGUAUUUUGUAAUAUAUAUGGUCGUUGGAGAACUGCUAGAACACAAGAGAUGUUGUAGUAUUACAACUUGGACAUAAAGAAGAAUACGCAAAAUACACAUGUUAAUAUGGUUUUAAGGACUUAUUGAGAAUAGCAAGAAAAAGAGCCACUCACGUUUGAAUUAUUAGGAGAGGUAGUUCCGGGUUGAACCAUUUCAGCCGCUAAGUAAAUAACCAUGGAGAUUUUGUCUGUGAACUUGCACAGAGCUUCAGUGACAGUUCCUCCACCGAUGCUAUGUCCCACGAGUAUGAUCUUGUGGUGAGGAGGGAUUUCAGACAAGAGAGAGAAGAGAGGUUGGUUAUAAUGGUCGAAGUCAAAGACGGUGUUAGAGUCCGUGAGGUUGAUGCCAGCGCCGGUGAGAUCGACGGAGGUGGCUUUGAAUCCUGCGGCGAGAAGAAGAGUGAUGAGUUUAUACCAGCACCAACCACCGUGGCAGGCUCCAUGAACAAACACAAAGUGAAUUAUUGGCGCUACACCACCGUCGCCUCCCAUCGCAGUCUCUCUAAUCUGUAUAAGUUUAGUUCACUUGACUUUAGAAAAAAAAUUAAUGUGGUUUGGUCCACAUCUUUACAAAUGACGGUUACAACCCCCUAACCUGUUUCUUUUUAAUAAAACUUAUUUCGAUCGUUAUACUAUUUUCUUCAGCGUAUUUUUUUUUUUUGAACAAUGUUUCAUUGAUAAAUAUAGUGUAUAUGGCCAAUACAAGAAGUUUAUUAACCAAGAAGGAGGAACUGAAAAACUUAAAACAUCAACUUGAUCGUCAAAAAUACAACGUGAUCCUAGGGAGUUUUUCUUUAUAAAAUUGUAAUUUUAAUUUUUUGAUAUUGAUUUAAGUUUGGAUUGGAUUAUGAAAUAUCAAGGAUCUGUUCAUAUAUUUUUAUAAUUCGAAUCGGGUAAUUUGUUCGGUUUAGUUCGGUUUAAUUUUGGUCAAUGUACAAAAAUGCUGGAGCCUCCGGGCCUCGAGGAGAGGAAGGAAACAAAAAGAAAAAAGAGAGAAGUGAAGUCUAGAUCUCUCUUCUUCUACAACCAAGGUUGGUCCGUCACCGGCGAAAGGCGGAAAUCCUCUUCUCAGACGUUAUAAUGCCGGUAAGAUUUCAUCGUUUGAGAGUGUAAAAUCUAGAUCUCAGAUUAUAUUAAUUCCCGACUCAUCUUGUCGCAGUUCAAGACGGUGGAGCCUCCGAGUCUGUUGCGUUACUUGAUCGGAUCGGCGGUGAUGAUGAUCGGCGUCGUAUUACCAGUCGGUUACAUGAUGUUCCGCAACAAGCGCGUCCCUUCCUCGUCUUCCUACUCUAAACAGACGUAGGUCUGCUUUUCCCCUUCACUUGUCAUCUGAUCUGCUAAAACCGUCACAGCUUUGAGUAUCUUAGAGAUAUAGUUGAGAUCUGAAAUUCAAAUCAGUUUAUUUUGAUUUCUGUAUAGUGUUUUUUUUUUUUUUUUGGUAUUGGAAUGAUCAACAAGCAUCAUUUAAUUUGGCCGGAAAAUGAAUUGGAAAAUCUUCUUGGGGGUUGGUUUUAUAAGCUAAGUUUAUUGGAUAAAGUCAGUGAAGUGAAUUAGUAUAGUGACUUUGACCAGAGGCAGUUUUGGUUGAAGAUAGAUUAUCAAAAUUUAUUUAUAGUUGCUCCUCUUCUUCUUCUUCUUCUUUAAAAGCUUGUUUAGGCUAGGUGUGAUCCUUUUGCUAGUCUAAGUAAAACUCAUCCUCACUCAUUGGUGCCUAAUAAUCUGAUGUGAUACUUUUCAGGAACAAAGUUUUGAUUUAGAAGUCCAGAGACUGCGGUUGAAUUCAAUUGGAUCCACAAGGAUGAUGACAUAUUGAUUAUGGGGGGGGAUUCUUGUUUUGACAUGGGUUGCAAGAGAUAAGAGAUUAAAAACCUACAAAAAUAUGAGUGAUUUUUCGUUAAUCUUCUUUGUUAGGUUAUGCAAGGUCUAUUAUGUAACACAACCUCUUCUCUUAGGCUGAAACAUUAUAUAAGACUGAAUUUCGUUCAUUGUAUCUUCUUUUUUGCUUUCAAAAAAAAACUGGUUUUCUUGUCUCUUUUUGGUAAAUGAAAUGUUAUCGAAACAUUUACACAGUACUAGUAGAUAUGCUGUUAAAUGCUUAGGGAACUAGAACAAUUAAUAGAAAAAAACACUUCCGGAAUUGAUUUGUGAUUUGGGGAGAGCAUGUUUGUAACGGGAAUGGAGUCUCUGGUUCGAUACACUCUUGGUGAUGGAACACCUGUUGCCCGUAUUAUCGACAGGUUACUCCUGAUGAAAAUGCAAUGUUUAACUUGUUGUCUUGGCGUUGGACUCUUGUCAUAUAUCAAAGCUGAUUUAAUGCACCAAAAUGAAUAUAAAUGAACUUCACAACGUUCGUAAUGUAUUCUGAAUUGAGUUAAAUAUGUCGAGCAUUUUCGAGUGCUCUUUCAAAACCGUAACAAAGCGGCAGAUAUAAAGUGUUUGCUUAAAAACCAUAAUUAGAAGGCCAUCGUAUAGUCUCCAAAAUUUGUAAAAACAUAAAGUCAACAUGCGAUAAAAGGACGACAACAUGAAUUCUAGAAGAAGAAGAUGAUAGCAGUAACAAUGAUAGCCAAAGGCGAAUCAACGGUAACGACGAAGGGAGAGGGAGUUAUUCUUCUUCCAUGUAGCUCUGCGAGACGGGCGGUUCUUGUGGUUUCUGUGACCCUUUCCGCGCAGUCCUCUGUUCUUCUUUCCCUCCGAUGUAAGUCCCCUGAGCUCACGGUGUUUGUGCACCGGGUUACAGAUCCAGUUGAUCCUCGGGUCAUUACGCACAGCGUUGUGUGCGGGGUCAACCAAGAUGAUCUCGUAGUACUUGUACGUCGAAUCCUAAACCAAUAUAUGGAAGUUAAUAUCUAUACACACACAGAUAAGCCUAGUAAUGCACAUGAAAGAGAGAGAGAGAGAUCGUACCUCGUUGAGCCAGUAGGAGUUGACGACUCUUAGACCGCCCAGUUUCCUUCCAGCACGCUCCUCAGCAACAGAACGCUUGCUCCUCUGGAACUUGAGUUGAGUAACUCCCUGGUUUGUGGGUUUACCAUACACAAUACCCUUUGGCACUGGCCUCUUUC
rnacentral:lncRNA from 1 species